AGACCAUGAUGUGGACAUUUUCUUAACAACUUUAUAUACCCCUUCUAAGCUUCAUACAGUGAUUCAUCAUUGUCUUGUACGAAAGAGGUAAUGUCCUUUCUCAUUUU